rnacentral:lncRNA from 1 species
AGUUGGUGGUGUUUCUCUUCAACAAGCCCCUUCCUCUCCUCCUGUGGCAUUGCAGCAACAGCUGCCUGCCCGGCAUAGAUGUUCAAGCACUUGGUGCAGCAGGACGGGUGGUUCUGCUCUCUAAUGAACUAGAUAAAUCACACGAAAUUGGCUAAGAGGGACCGUCAACGUGGAGGAGAAAGGGAAAAAGAGUGUUUGAGGAGACCUUGAUUUCAAACGUUGCGGUGCGGGUCCACCAUUUGUCCUAACCAAGCACCUUCUGAAGGUGUGAAAUACGUGGCUUAAAGCCUUUUUUCCCCUCACUGAGCUUUGACAGGGAGGAAAUGGUUAUGCAUAACCAUGCUUUUUACGUGUUUCUUAAGCACUCUUUCCUCUUGAUGGUGUAGCCCUAACAUUGAAAUACCUGGGACGCGUCUCUCUGCACCUUGCAUACCGCGUUUAAAACGAGAGCAUCACGGGCGAAAUCCUAGGUGGUAGGUCCGGGGAAGGGUGGGGUGUUUUACGGCUCCAACCCGCCAGGCAGGUGAAUAACAUCUUCCCAAAUCCCUGGGUCUUGCAGGUCUCCACCAUGGCUGGCGCCGCCAGGGCUGCCCUCCCGCAUGCGGCUCGGUGCGACGCGAUCGCUGUCAAAUUACCAACUUGGGAAAUGAGACGUGUGUUGAAUUUUUACACCAGUGACAGCCCAAGGAAGGGAUCGGUGUGGUUUUUGGUACCAGGUGACACGGCCGUACUGUGCUUUAGCAGCUGGCUUAGUGAUCUCCAGGGUAAGAAUUUCUUCCGCUUCAUUGCCAGCAUCCUCUUCCGAGGAAAUCAGUGUGGACUUCUGCAAAUAGCUUUGUCCUUUCUCAAAUAGGCUGUGCUCUUAAUAAUCAGAAUGAGUCGCAGGCAUUCCAUUAAUUGUCCAGAUAAUUAGCUUUAGGCAAUCUGGCGUUUCAUCUUUGUCUCAGACUUAAUCUCAGCUAGUUUUCGCUCAGUCACUGGCAUGUGUAAUUCCUCAUCUAUUUUGACAUUUCUGUCGCAUUAGCAUUUAUCAUAUUUCCAUUCCUCUAGACCUGAGGAACCUUUAAUCAAUCGUACUGUUCUGUGACUUACUUAUGCUACAUAAAACGCAUAUCAUUGUAACAUUGUAACUACAUCCACUGACUUGAUCAAUGUGCAUUUUAUUUUGCUAAAGUUCACUUGCAGCCUUAGCUGACUUUGUUUUUCUUGUAGCGCCUUCGUUUCGUGUAGGUUGUUAAAAUCUUCAGUGAGAGUUCUCCUUCCCUGGGCACGUUUGUGGUAUUUCAAACCUAACUUUGCAUUUAUUAAUCCCCAGAACAAUGCCAGAUGGUGAAACCCAGGAAUAUGCGAUAUGGAUGCAUGUGUGCACCCAUGUGCACACAUUUUAUCUCUGUGCAUGGCCGCACAGGCUGAGUUAGUGUGAUGGGAGGUUUUAUUAGGUAAUAAAGCUGUGUUUCAAGUUAUGCA